GCAAGUCGUACGAGAACUCUUUAGCUUGCUAAAGAUAGUAAAGUGGCGCACGGGUGAGUAACGCGUGGGUAACCUACCUCUGAAUCGGGGAUAACAUUGCGAAAGCGAUGCUAAUACCGGAUAAUAUCUCAGAACCAUCAGGUUUUGAAAUCAAAAAUGGCCUCUACAUGUAAGCUGUUGUUUGGAGAUGAGCCCGCGUACCAUUAGCUUGUUGGUAGGGUAAUGGCCUACCAAGGCAACGAUGGUUAGCUGGUCUGAGAGGAUGAUC
rnacentral:rRNA from 1 species